GAUGAACGCUGGCGGCGUGCCUAAUACAUGCAAGUCGAGCGAACGGACGAGAAGCUUGCUUCUCUGAUGUUAGCGGCGGACGGGUGAGUAACACGUGGAUAACCUACCUAUAAGACUGGGAUAACUUCGGGAAACCGGAGCUAAUACCGGCUGAUAUUUUGAACCGCAUGGUUCAAAAGUGAAAGACGGUCUUGCUGUCACUUAUAGAUGGAUCCGCGCUGCAUUAGCUAGUUGGUAAGGUAACGGCUUACCAAGGCAGCGAUGCAUAGCCGACCUGAGAGGGUGAUCGGCCACACUGGAACUGAGACACGGUCCAGACUCCUACGGGAGGCAGCAGUAGGGAAUCUUCCGCAAUGGGCGAAAGCCUGACGGAGCAACGCCGCGUGAGUGAUGAAGGUCUUCGGAUCGUAAAACUCUGUUAUUAGGGAAGAACAUAUGUGUAAGUAACUGUGCACAUCUUGACGGUACCUAAUCAGAAAGCCACGGCUAACUACGUG
rnacentral:rRNA from 1 species